UUCGAGGUGGAGGCCAAGUGGAUGGCGAUUGCACGGGUAAAUACCGCCAGGCCUUUUAGCUCCACGACGUUCUUCGACAAUAUGAUGUUCAUAUGGGGGCUAGCUCAGACUCCAAAAUUCCGUGAGGCGGGAGAGAAUUUGUUCAUCUUCCAAUUUUUCUGCCUUGGAGAUUGGAAGAGGGUCGUGCAUAGAGGACCUUGGCUCUUCAGGGGGCUUGGGGUAAUCAUUGAGGACUAUGACGGCAAGACGGACCCUGAGGAUGUGGUACUAGAUGGGCUGUCUGUCUAGGCACAAAUACACAAGAUUCCAAACCUCUAUCGGCAUGAGUCAGUGGUGGAUGAACUAGCUCGCAGGAUUGGCAAGGUUCGUGAGGUUCAACUAAGGCCUACCCUUUUCUAUGAGGGGGAUUAUGUCCGUGUUCGUGCAAAGGUCUUGACAGCGAAGCCAUUGACCCGUUUUCACACCGCUGACUAUGGAAGGAGAAGGUAG
rnacentral:rRNA from 1 species